CCUACGGGCGGCAGCAGUGAGGAAUAUUGGUCAAUGGACGAGAGUCUGAACCAGCCAAGUAGCGUGAAGGAUGACUGCCCUAUGGGUUGUAAACUUCUUUUAUAAAGGAAUAAAACGCGGCACGUGUGCCUUUUUGCAUGUACUUUAUGAAUAAGGAUCGGUUAACUCCGUGCCAGCAGCCGCGGUAAUACGGAGGAUCCGAGCGUUAUCCGGAUUUAUUGGGUUUAAAGGGAGCGUAGAUGGGUUGUUAAGUCAGUUGUGAAAGUUUGCGGCUCAACCGUAAAAUUGCAAUUGAUACUGGAAGUCUUGAGUGCAGUUGAGGUAGGCGGAAUUCGUGGUGUAGCGGUGAAAUGCUUAGAUAUCACGAAGAACCCCGAUUGCGAAGGCAGCUUACUAGACUGUGACUGACAUUGAUGCUCGAAAGUGUGGGUAUCAAACAGGAUUAGAUACCCGUGUAGUC
rnacentral:rRNA from 1 species